CACUGUAGAGUUUGACUUGUGCUUCAUCUUAAGCACCAAAUAGCAUACAUACACACAGCAGGACAGAGGAAGAAAAAUAGCUCCCUAACCUGGACAGUGAGUUCUUCCUUCCUAUGCCAUGCACUUCUUCCUGUCCAAGUUUCAGGGGCACGCUGUGCUGUUGGGCAGUAGACAGAAGGAUCACUGUUUUAUGCCAUACCAGUGCUUAAGACCCCAUAAAAUAGAUCUUUCUGGGAGCCAGUUAUGUCUGCUCCCAGUGGAGCUAGGGGAAGACCAUGGUGAGGUGCCUUCACCUGCCUUCCAGCUCCUUCGUGUUAGGAAAUUGCAGUGAUCUCUUAAGAGUUUUUCUUUUUUUUCUUUUUAAGUUUAUUAUAAGUAUUUUCUUAGGCCACAAGAUAUUCUUUAAACAGUUUUAAUGGUUAUGUGAUAGUAUGUUUUAUUCAAUAAGACCUUUUGGUAUUUACCAAAUGACACUGUUCAUAGAUGUUAGCUGUUAAUUCAUAGUACCUGUAAAUUCAGUACUAUUAUUUACUUAAUGAUGAGAAACUUAAGUUCAGAGAUGUAAAUUAAUAUGCCUGAGAUUGUAGAGUGGCACUCAGACUCAGGUGGUGUCCAUGGCCGCUGGCUUGUGUUCUAUGGAAUAUUUCAACUCUCCCUUGUCUGUCCCUGCAUAUUUAGGUCAUAUUACCCUCUUAGUUAUAUAUAAAGUAAUGCUGCUCAACGCUGUCUGAGUGACCCAGUGAGCACUGCAGCUCAGCUUCCUUCCCUGCAGGGGGCAAUCUCUGGGAUGUUCCUCCAUAGUGUUGCCAUUGCUUAGGGAGUAGGCAGCAGCGUGUCAGUGAGAGGAGGCUCCAGCGAGCUUCUGAACUGUGUCUGUCAUGCAUGCUUUCUAGAGCAGUAAAGGCAUAUUGAAAUUCCGUGGGCUGAAAGCUCUGGCAUUUGGGAAAUCUUCAUACAAAGUGAAGCUGCUAUUGUGCUCUUUGGUUAGGAUACACUGUGUGUUAUCGGGACUGGUGAGAAACACAAGAAGGGAGGGAGGAGGGUUUUUGUUGUGUUUUGUUUUAUUUUUAUUUUCUUCUUUACUAUUGAUGUUGGCUUCCAAGCGUACCAUUUACUGUUUGUUCUUAAUUCCUGCAUGCACUAAGGGAUGGUUGGGUUCAUACAGAUUUUCCCCACUAUAGCUUUUUUCCUUAAAGAAAGCAUCAGUAAAUUUUCAUAGGUUAUUUUCUUUUUUGAACCUUGCAAGGUUUUUGUUGUUGGCUGCUGGUUACUUUCUCUACUGUCUUUCAUGAUUGUGUUUUCUUCUUGGACUUUUGGGUGCAGGUUCGAGGGACUAGGCCCCACUAUAAUUGUCUGCCCAACGACAGUGAUGCAUCAGUGGGUGAAGGAAUUCCACACGUGGUGGCCUCCAUUCAGAGUGGCAGUUCUGCAUGAAACAGGUUCCUACACCCACAAAAAGGUAAUGGUGCAGUGAGAAGCUACAUAUUUGACCUUUUUUCCCUUUCAAAUGUGCUUAUGUAUAUUUCUUUCAUUUUAACUUAUUUAAUUAUUGACUUGUAACUUCAUAUUAUCAAACAGAUAUGAACAAAGGCUUUCUUUUUUCUUUUUGGUUUUUUUUCAAGACAGGGUUUCUCUGUAUAGCCUUGGCUGUCCUGGAACUCACUCUCUGUAGCUCAGGCUGGCCUUGAACUCAGAAAUCCGCCUGCCUCUGCCUCCCAAGUGCUAGGACCAAAGGCGUGCACCACCACUGCCAGGCAAACAAAGGCUUUCUUGUUAAUAGUCUGGUAGUAUGAUUUGAUGUCCAACAAAGCAUAGCUGGGCACAGACAGGGGGCCACAGGCCGACCGUAUGCAUGGGAUCACAAAUCUACAUGGCAGUUUACUGGAGGGAGGUUGACGUUAGCAGCUUUAAGUAGGUUGAGAAAAGUGAAUUUGAAAAGUAACACAGACUGAACAUCUCUAAUCAGAAAUGCAAGAUGCUUCAGACUUGGAGAUGAGUCCAUACCUGACUUACAUAUGAGAGGCCUUCACCUUGGGACUAAUGUGUCACCUUCGCUUACAUCAGUUCCAACUUCUUUACUCUUCUCAUUUGUGGUGUGUGUUUUUUUGAGAGUCUCCUUCUGUAGCCGUGGCUGGCCUUGAACUUGUGACCUCCUGCCUCUGCGUCCUUCAUGAUGAGGCACUCCUGCUAGACUUGCAUUCCUGCACAUGGUUGUUUCUGUUUCCUCCAACUGCUUUUCAGUGCAGUUUUUGUUUUUCCUCACAGAAAAAGAUUAUGUAUGAGUUGAUUAAUAUUUAUUUGUGGAACAACUAUAAAUGCUGUCUCUAGUCCAGGUGUUUCAUAUUGUUAGGUCUCAGGAAGAAAGGGGCAUGAUGUUUUCAAUUCAUCCUGAAAAGCCAACUCUUCUUGGAAAGAGCACACGUGAAAGAUAAUGAAGGCCGCAGUCUGUGGUGCUUAUCUCACCACGCUGCACAGUGGGUGGUGCCUCAUUAGCGUUGUUUUGAAAAGCUUACUUAACGAUUAAGAAUCAUCUUUUCAGUUUGCUCCGAAGAUGUAUCAUGAGAGACUGCUUGUAUUCUAUAAUAACCGUUGUGUCUCCCACCUUUUCCUGAUAUGUAGGAUCCAGUGAUUUUGUGGACAUUUUAGAUAAUCCAAAGGGUUUUGUCUCAUUUUGAUCAACUCACACUCCUAGAGUCCUAGAAAUG
rnacentral:lncRNA from 1 species